UCAAACGGGAUGUGGUGUUCAGUGUUAUUGCUGGCAGUUUCUAAUUAAAUUUCCUUACAAGCUGACGCAUUUUGCAACUGAAAAUAUAGCAGAAAGAGAGAAAAAGUUUUACAUUAUUGAAUGAUGCAAAAAUUUACUACACGAAGCUGGAAUAUAUAAAAUUUAUCAAAGGCGUUCAUUCAUAUAAUAUGCAUAUAGGCAUACAGGCACACAUAUGUACUUAUAUGUGUAUGCAGCCCCACACGCAUUAAUACACCAAAACAAGUUGUUGUGUAUUGAUUGGAAAAUCGAUAAAAUUGACGCUAGUCAAGGACAUUCUUCCUUCUUCGAGUUUAAAUAGUUAACGGCAAAUAUAUUUUUGUUAUACAGACUUUCAAACCCUUUGCUAAGCUGCUGCAUAAAGAAGCGAAGCGAAUGGAUCUGGUAAUAAACGAGGACAAGAUGAAGUUUCUGCUGUCCUCAAAUAAGCAGUCAGCUGAGUUGCUUAUCGACACCCACGCCACUGUUGACAG